rnacentral:lncRNA from 1 species
GGUGUGCAUUGUCACCUCCACAAGUCUUUAACAGAGAUAGGGUUAAAGAAAUAUACGGAGUUCAAGUCGAAUCUGCGGUUACAAUCGAGCUUUCAGACUCCGUCAAUUCCAGUCAAGCGUCACACUAUGCGUUAGAUUUAUUCGCUACGUAGCAAUCUAGUUAACUACAGUAAUAUAAGGUUAGCUAAACGUACCCUUUUGGAAUUUUCAUCAAAACCUUGCAGGAAAUAUUAAAUCCAUGGGAUUUAUUUUUACUGUAAAAAGAGCGAAUAUUAAUGAUUUGACAAUGAAGGGAGGGUACGUUUAGCAGAACCCAAUUCUAAUUCGUGUUAAGGAGUUCUUCAAUCAUUUGCAACGCGAUUUUAUCCUCUUCUUCACUGUCUCUAAUCCGACAAUUUUCAACAACGUCAAUUUCCCCUUGGAUCUUGGCUUUGGUCUUCCCAAGCUCGACGGUCAUGACCCAGUUGGAACCCGAAUGAAUUCCAGCCCGUUUCUGCCACACUCCGAUAUGAGAACUCUCCGUGUCAAGCCUGAGACAGGUCAGCGACGGUGAAGGCGCCUUACAGCAUUUUCUUAGCUUCGCGCUUAACAUCGUAGAAAGAGCCGAAGCUGGCGUAGCCUGUGAUUGUGUGUUUCCAUCUGCUGCUUCUGUUUUGACAAUUGGAAAAUUUGUUUUGGCAUUAUGACCACUCAUUAGAAUAGCGGCUUCAUCGUACGCUCUGGCGGCUUCUUCUGCUGUUUCAAACGUCCCUAGCCACACUCUUCUUUUCCUAUAUGUUUAUACAGAAAGUUAAAUGGUUAAAAUAUGUAUUAAAAGAAAAAUAUAUGUAUGUAUGUAUGUAUGUAUGUAUGUAUGUAUGUAUGAAGACUAGAUUGAGAGGGUACAUACAGUAAAGGGUGUCGGAUUUCGGAAACCCAUGAACCCCAGUGGCGUUGUCAGAGAUAUGAAGUGA